AUGUGCGCUGCCCCGCCCCGUGGAGUUGACAUGAAUGAGCUGAAUGGAUUACUAGAAGAGGUAGCAAAUGAUACUGUUGAAAUGUCCAUUAGCACAUCCUAUGAGCUCCAACAAACACAAAUGGGGACUCCAGAGAACCGCAUGGCCUUGGAUUAUCUGCUUGCUGGCCAAGGAGGAACCUGGGCUAUCAGGGCACAGGGAUGUUGCACUGCUAGCAGUGAUGGGUUUGAAGGCCAACAGCCAGGAAUCACCUUGACAGAAAGAGCAGUAGAAGAGUGGCAGAAAGAAGAAAAUUCUUCUUGGUGGGAUUGGCUUCGUGGCUGCCAAAUUAGAGGCUGCUGUGAAAUGCAUUGGUGGCAGGGCCUGUCAUCAUUGCAGUGUGUGCACUUGUGUAAAAGCUGGGUCCUCUCACAGCUUUGGAGCCUCAUUGCCUGCAGAGGUGGAGGCACCUGCAGGAAUUCCCAGUGACUCUCCAGUCCUUGGCUUCCCCCAGCUGAUGUGUGGCUGUGGAUGAUGGUAAAGCCUGAGGCUAACUGGUGAUGGAUCUUUCCUUAAUCACUCCAGGCAAUCUCUGGUAGCAAUGACUGGAUGCAUUGCUGAGCUUCUUUUGUAAUGCUUUGCUAAUGAUGAUGUGCUUUGCUGAGCUUAUCCUUUUGUAAUUCUUUGCAGCUGUGCAUGAUAUAAAUGACACAAUUCCUUCAGUUGGUGUCUGUGUCUUUGGUGCUGACCCUGCCCACUGGUGAAACAGGGCCCCCUCCAGCCUAAGUGUUACCUGGAAAGACAAAACCCAUCACUCCAAAUGUCCCCCCUUCCUCCUUGUUCCCCCCACUUUUUACCCUGAGUGUGAUGCCUGCCCUAUGGUCUGGGGUAUCCCCGGGGUCAGUUGGGGUCACCUGUCCUGGCUGUGUCCCCUCCCAAACUCCCCCGCAGCCCCAGCCCCUCUCCAGCGUGGCCUGAGGAGGGGCAGGCCAGGCUUUGGCUCAGUGGGAGCUCAGCAAGAACAAAAGCAUCUCUGUGUGCCCAGCCCUGUGCUCAGCACCCGGCCCAGCAGCAGCGUCUCAGUGCCAGGGUCUGUGCCAUCAGUCCCUGCCAGGGGUUUCCAUGGCACCUGCCAGGCCAGGUGACCCAGGUGUGGUGUCCCAGUGAGGGCUGCCAUGCAAACAGUGCCCAGCACUGCCCCUUUCUGUCUGCCUGACCUGGCCUUGGCCCUGGCCCUGCUGUUUGCUGCAGGUUCCGCGGCGCCUGACCGGCCCGCGCGGCACAGGGCAGGCGGCCACGGCACAGACCCACAGCAAGGGCUCCCCUCUGGCUCUGGGCAGUGACACCAGCCCUGAGCAAUGGGCUGGCGCACUGGGGUCAGUGCGGUGUCCAUGGCAGCAGUCCCUUGCAAUGCCCAGUGCAGGUUGGGAUGAUGAUCCACCCUCACAGCCGGCCCAGGGCAGGUGUGCGGUGCCCUUCCCCACAGCCUGUCUGCACAGAAGCACUUCCAGGGCUCUCUGCAUUUCCCUUCCUUCACUCUUGAGUCACUCACACACCUCCCAACGACCCACUGGGAGCUUUGAGCUGCAAGGAGUGCAAAGCUGGUCUGUCCUUCAGGAGUGGCUCUCAUUCUGUCCUGAGCCAACUCUGCAUUUGUGUUCAUUGCAGAUCUUCCUGUGUGUCUACAUCAUUCCUUGCAGGGCUCUGCCUUGGGGAAGGGGAACCUCCUUGGAGGUACCUAGGGCUUGGCACACACUUGAGGAGUGUGUCUGUUUUAAAUGGGGAAGCUUAAGAGUUUUAGAUUGCUUCAAAAAAUAAAAGAAGAAAACCCCUCUUUGCCUGAGCGCAGCCAGUUCUCCAAGCACAGCAGGUCCCAGGUGACUGAGCAGAGACAGGACGGGCUUGGGCUAUGUGGGGCAAGGUUGUCCACACUGCCUCAGACCUCCAGGCACAGCUUCUCUGACUAGGCCAGACAUCCUCAGGAGAGUCCCUGGGCCAAUAUCAGUGGCUGAAUGCUGCAGUCACCUCUGCUCUAAAUAGAAGUCAUAAAAUAUACUCUUCAAAGGGGAACGUGGAUUUAUUGGAAGCUCUUGCAAAUAGUUUUCCAUCAGUAUUGUAGGAAACCUCCUGACAAAGAAUCUCCAGGGACUAAUUCCAGCAGAUAAUUGGAGGCCAUGAUUGCACAAACCUCUCAGGACCCCAAGCAAAAGCCCAAGUCCUUUGAAAAACCUGCCAUCCCUGGGGGCAUGAAGGAGGGCCCAGGGCCAUUCCUGACCAAGGCUCCCCAGGGCCUCUUCCCAGCAGCUCCCUGAGGCCAGGAGUGCAGGGAGGCAGAGGCUCUGUGUAGGCAGCUCAGCUGCUGAGCAGAGCCUGGGCUGGCUGGAGGCAGCAGAAAGGCCAAGGCCUGAGCCCCAGCCCCAGGGAAGGCAGAUCCUGUCCCUCCCCGCCUGCUCAGGGCUCUGCCGGGAGCACUGGCAUAGGGAGGGAUGCUGAGGGCAGGACAAGGGAUGGCAGUGCC
ensembl:lncRNA